CAGUCGCCGCGGUAAUACGUAGGGUCCGAGCGUUGUCCGGAAUUAUUGGGCGUAAAGGGCUCGUAGGCGGUUUGUCGCGUCGGGAGUGAAAACCAGCAGCUUAACUGCUGGCCUGCUUUCGAUACGGGCAGACUUGAGGCAUUCGGGGGAGAACGGAAUUCCUGGUGUAGCGGUGAAAUGCGCAGAUAUCAGGAGGAACACCGGUGGCGAAGGCGGUUCUCUGGGAAUGUUCUGACGCUGAGGAGCGAAAGUGUGGGGAGCGAACAGGAUUAGAUACCCCCGUAGUCCCUGUCUCUUAUAC
rnacentral:rRNA from 1 species